rnacentral:rRNA from 1 species
UACGGAGGGGGCAAGCGUUGUUCGGAAUUACUGGGCGUAAAGCGUGCGCAGGCGGUUUGUAAGACCGAUGUGAAUCCCGGGCUUAACCUGGGAACUGCAUUGGUGACUGCAAGGCUUGAGUGUGUCAGAGGGAGGUGGAAUUCCGCAUGUAGCAGUGAAAUGCGUAGAUAUGCGGAGGAACACCGAUGGCGAAGGCAGCCUCCUGGGAUAACACUGACGCUCAUGCACGAAAGGCGUGG